rnacentral:antisense_RNA from 1 species
GAUUCCUCGAUCGAAAGUUGGAUCUAUAAUAUUGGAUUUCACCUGAAUGACAUCUCUCCCUCCCGGAGCUCAAAUAUCAUAUACGCCUACAAAAUAAAGAGCCUUGAAUACUAUAUAUAAAAAAAAACGCUAGACCUAACAAGAUUAAGUGAAUAUCUAAAAUUAAAUAAAAAGAUUUUUAAAAAAAAUAAAUUAAAAAGCUUUUGUUUCUCUUCA